rnacentral:ncRNA from 1 species
UCCGACCGGCCGAGCACCGAUGUGCCCGGCCCACAAGUGGAGGCUCCGAUCUCCCACCCGACCAGCCCCCGGGCAGGCGGGUCAACGGUCAGGCUGCGCCCCGCGGUGACAUCGCGGCGGUGCUCCCGAUCCAUUGAGGAGCCCCGCCUGUGUCCCGUCCGGGGCAUUUUUC